rnacentral:lncRNA from 1 species
CUGAAUAUGGCAGCAACCCUCCUUCUGAGCCACCAUCUCCCAUUUAUAAGCCUCCAACUCACAAAACACCCUCCUUUUACAACCCACCAAUUGGGAAAACCCCACUCAACAAUGCACCAUUUCAGAAACCCCCACUUUUUAACACCCCUAUUCAAAAAUCACCAUUUUACACUUCACCAUUUCAGAAACCCCCACCUUUUGUGCCACCAUUUUACAUGCCACCCUUUGAGAAACCACCACUUCAGAUGCCACCCUUGGAGAAACCACCACUUUUUGUGCCACCCCUUUCUGUGCCACCCUUUGAGAAACCACCACUUUUUGUGUCACCCCUUUCUGUGCCACC